rnacentral:rRNA from 1 species
GGCGAGUGGCGGACGGGUGAGGAAUACAUCGGAAUCUACUCUUUCGUGGGGGAUAACGUAGGGAAACUUACGCUAAUACCGCAUACGCCCUUCGGGGGAAAGCAGGGGAUCGCAAGACCUUGCGCGAUUGAAUGAGCCGAUGUCGGAUUAGCUAGUUGGCGGGGUAACGGCCCACCAAGGCGACGAUCCGUAGCUGGUCUGAGAGGAUGAUCAGCCACACUGGAACUGAGACACGGUCCAGACUCCUACGGGAGGCAGCAGUGGGGAAUAUUGGACAAUGGGCGCAAGCCUGAUCCAGCCAUACCGCGUGGGUGAAGAAGGCCUUCGGGUUGUAAAGCCCUUUUGUUGGGAAAGAAAAGCAUCCGGUUAAUACCCGGGUGUUCUGACGGUACCCAAAGAAUAAGCACCGGCUAACUUCGUGCCAGCAGCCGCGGUAAUACGA